CAUGGCUGCAGAGUACUGAAGACAUACCUCAAGCUGCUGCAAAAUUAACUUAGGAAUUAUAAAAGCAAAUGGGACAUUUCAUGCCAAAGAGAAGUGUUCAGAAGAUGCAGCACUUAAACAUUUUUAAGAUUAAUGUGACAGCAUGAGAAUCAAGAGUCUACUUUCCUGGCUGUAAGUAAAAAGGUAAAAUAGAAGAAAAGUCAAAGCAAAAGUGGUCAAAUGAGACGUAAAAAGCGCUUACAUACACAGCUGCAGCCACACUUGGAGUGCUCCACACAAGGCAGA